AAUUCCGCUGGCGUGGGCCCGGCGCGCUGCUCUGCGACUACAUCCUGCCCAGGCCGCCGGCCUAGGCUGCGCUGCGCAUGCGCGAGUCCUCUGUCACAUUAACUUUGCUCUAGAAGACAACUUUACAAGGAUCUAAAAAGAACAGGAUUAAAGAUGACUGAAUACUGGGUUCCAGAAAUUUAAAACAAUCAGCUUAGCAAAUCAUAUAUUCUUCUGUGGAGCUGAGAAUUGAUGUCUGCUCUUCCCAGUGAUUUGGAAAUUUCCAAUCCCAGAGAAAAGUUGACAAAGGGACUGCCCAGGACUGAGUCCAUAUGGAAGAAGAACUUCCUCUUUUCUCUGGAGACAGUGGCAAGCCAGUACAGGCUACUCUGUCAUCUUUGAAGAUGUUAGAUGUGGGAAAGUGGCCAAUUUUUUCCCUUUGUUCUGAGGAAGAACUACAGUUAAUUCGUCAGGCUUGUGUCUUUGGCAGUGCUGGCAAUGAAGUUUUAUACACUACAGUAAAUGAUGAGAUUUUUGUGCUUGGCACAAACUGCUGUGGCUGUUUGGGGUUAGGUGACGUCCAGAGCACCA
rnacentral:sRNA from 1 species